rnacentral:lncRNA from 12 species
GGGGGGGGGGGGGGGGGGGGGGGGGGGGGGGGGGGGGGGGGGGGGGGCGCCGUCCCGCUUCCCCGCCGCGGGGCUCGGCGCGUGCCGGGCCCGUUCCCGCGGUUAACCGCCGUUCCCGGCUGCCGGCCCGGCCCCGGUCUGGGUUUGGAUGGCUCCUGCUCGGCUCCCAGCCCUGCUGCCCCGUGGGGUCGGGGCUCUGCUCACUGGGAUGGGAUCAUCUCCCGCGGGUUUCUCCCCAGUGACGGAGCCUGUGGAGCUCCUGGUGCUCCUGGGGCGGCGUUCCCAGUGCUCCAGAGCCCCUUCGUGGGGCUGCUGCCCCAUCCACACUGUCCCACUGCAGAGCUGCCCCACGGGCUGGUGCUGGCCUCUCAGAGACACAUCACUGUCCCAUCCCAUCCCAUGGAUAUCAUCCCAUCCCAUCCAUCCCUGGAUCCCAUCCCUGGAUCCCAUCCCAUCCCUGUAUCCUAUCCCUGGAUCCCAUAUCAUCCCAUCCCAUCCCUGUAUUCCAUCCCAUCCCAUCCCUGUAUCCCAUCCCAUCCCUGGAUCCCAUCCCUGAAUCCCAUCCCAUCCCAUCCCAUCCCUGGAUCCCUGUACCCCUGGAUCCCGUGGAUCCCAUCCCAUGGGCAGUUGGCCCUUCCCCUGGCUCUCCCAGUGCUCCUGCUCUGGCAGAUCUGGCUGUGGGGCUGCAGUGGGUGCCUGGCUUUGGCUGUGGGGUGCAGUAGGGCAAGGCCCUGCCUCGGUCCCCAGGGUCCAUGGGGUGCCAUGCUUUGCUCCUUGGGGUGCUGUGGGGUGCUGUGGUGGCCUGGAGUGCAGUGAAUCACUCCCUGGGGUGCCAUGGAGUGCUUUGGGGUGCCGUGCAUCACUCUCAGGGGUGCUGUGGGGUGCCAUGUGUUGCUCCCUGGUGUGCUGUGGGGUGUAAUGGUGCCAUGGGGUGCAGUGAAUCACUCCCCGGGUGCCGUGCAUGCGGUGACUCCAUCCUUGCGCUGCUCCGCGGCGCUGGCUCAGCGCUGCUGACCACCCCAGGGUCCCCCCUCCGGGCCAGGUCUAUUUUUAGGAGCAGCCCGGCUCUCAGCGGCGCUCCAGCGUGUGAGUGGCACCAGCCCAGCGUGGCAGCGAGCCCCCCGGUCCCGGCGGCGGUGGCUCCCGGAGCUGUGGCACGUGUGGCCAGGCGCUCCUCCCGCAGAGGCCAAACACUUCACCCCUAAAUUACAGCUCCGGAGAUGAGGUCAAGGCCACGGCGGUUUCGGCACAACCAUCUGUCGGGAGGCGAAAUUGC